CCCCUAGAUGUUCUGGGCCGCACGCGCGCUACACUGAACAGUUCAACAAGUCUUAACCUUGGCCGAUAGGUCUGGGUAAUCUUUGAACGCUGUUCGUGAUUGGGAUAGACCUUUGCAAUUAUGGGUCUACAACGAGGAAUUCCUAGUAAACGCAAGUCAUCAGCUUGCAUUGAUUACGUCCCUGCCCUUUGUACACACCGCCCGUCGCACCUACCGAUUGAAUGGUCCGGUGAAAUCUCGGGACGGCGGCUUGGUCGCUUGCGUCCGACUGCUGAAACUUGAUUAAACCAUAUCAUUUAGAGGAAGGUGAANUCGUAACA
rnacentral:rRNA from 1 species